GAUGAACGCUGGCGGCGUGCUUAACACAUGCAAGUCGAACGAAGCACUUUACUUGAUUUCUUCGGAAUGAUUGUUCUGUGACUGAGUGGCGGACGGGUGAGUAACGCGUGGGUAACCUGCCUCAUACAGGGGGAUAACAGUUAGAAAUGACUGCUAAUACCGCAUAAGCGCACGGUAUCGCAUGAUACAGUGUGAAAAACUCCGGUGGUAUGAGAUGGACCCGCGUCUGAUUAGCUAGUUGGUGAGGUAACGGCCCACCAAGGCGACGAUCAGUAGCCGACCUGAGAGGGUGACCGGCCACAUUGGGACUGAGACACGGCCCAA
rnacentral:rRNA from 1 species